AAACUGCUAUGUCACAAGAGGCCAAAGACUCCUUGUUAGAGAGCAGUAUUUUGACUUGAUCUUCUGGGAUCUCUCGCAUAAUAAGAGUCUUCUUACCGCCUCCUGGCAGCUCAACCAUAUUGGCAGCAAAUUGCUCAGUUGAUUUAGGUGGAUAGCUCUCAGAAAAUGUCCUUCCAAUAAAUGCAUUUAACAAUGCAGACUUCCCGGCAUUUUUCGGCCCGAAGACAAAACA
rnacentral:misc_RNA from 1 species